CACGUAGUUAGCCGGUGCUUCUUCUGCAGGUACCGUCACUCUCGCUUCUUCCCUGCUGAAAGAGGUUUACAACCCGAAGGCCGUCAUCCCUCACGCGGCGUCGCUGCAUCAGGCUUCCGCCCAUUGUGCAAUAUUCCCCACUGCUGCCUCCCGUAGGAGUCUGGGCCGUGUCUCAGUCCCAGUGUGGCCGGUCGCCCUCUCAGGCCGGCUACCCGUCGUCGCCUUGGUAGGCCAUCACCCCACCAACAAGCUGAUAGGCCGCGGGCUCAUCCUGCACCACUAAACGCUUUCCACCACCACAGAUGCCCAUGGCAGUAAUAUCCGGUAUUAGACCCCGUUUCCAAGGCUUGUCCCAGAGUGCAGGGCAGAUUGCCCACGUGUUACUCACCCGUUCGCCACUAAUCCCCGGCGAAACCGGAUCAUCGUUCGACUUGCAUGUGUUAAGCACGCCGCCAGCGUUCGUCCUGAGCCAGGAUCAAACUCU
rnacentral:rRNA from 1 species